rnacentral:rRNA from 1 species
GGAUUAGAUACCCUGGUAGUCCACGCCGUAAACGAUGAGAACUAGGUGUUAGAAGGCUUAGCCUUUUAGUAUCGUAGCUAACGCAUUAAGUUCUCCGCCUGGGGAGUACGGCCGCAAGGCUAAAACUCAAAGGAAUUGACGGGGGCCCGCACAAGCGGUGGAGCAUGUGGUUUAAUUCGAUGCAACGCGAAGAACCUUACCUACCCUUGAAAUCCUCGGAAUCUUCUAGAGAUAGAAGAGUGCCUUCGGGAAUCGAGUGACAGGUGCUGCAUGGCUGUCGUCAGCUCGUGCCG